GAUAGCCUCGCCCCUGGCUGCCGGGUUUUUCCUUCUCUAGGACGUUGUUUAUGUUUACAGUCUAUGGUUUUGGACUAAAAGUAAUACAAUACGUUUGGGAAAAUCAUUUAACAGUGAGUUGACAAAUUGUUGUCACUGUGCUUAUUUGAAAUGUUGUGCACAAAUGUCAUCUUAAUGUUCUCUGGUUUUAAAGAAAUGUUGUGGCGAUCUCAUCAUGUUGUGUAAUUAAAUACAUGAAAUUCAAUAACCUCUGCUCUCUCUGCAGGACAUGUUAGGGUUGUAUAUUGCUGUUUCCUUUUUUGUAUUUGGUUCAUCUUCUGCUCUUGAGAAUAAAGCGCCGUGCUUUGGCGGAAGACUCUCCAUACCGUUUGAAUACACACCGCUCCUUUUCAGUGGACAGUUGUACUUCACUCCGAGUGAUGGAGGACCCACAACUCUAUUGACGGAUAAUGGGGAGACCCACGGCUUAAACGAAGCUUCAUCACUUCUCCUUAUUUGAACGAUUUGACGGAAAGAGAUGAUGGAAUUUUUUCUGUCUCAUCCAAUGAGAAUAGGCGUCUUGAUAUCAUCAAAACUGGAGGUUUUGGAUUGUGCAGUCGAUGUCAGCACAGUUUACGGAGAUUGGUAUUACCUUGACGUUCCUCGGGAAGGCUGAAAUCCUGGAGUUCACUUCCCAGUCCCAGUCCCAGUUACUCCCUACCAAAGGUCCUGUGGAACCGCACAGACCCUCAGACCACCAAGAGAGGCAGAGGACAGAAGAAGCGUGACUUCUGGGAGAUCAUCAAACUCACUCAGAAGGACAAUGGCUACUACAAUGUCGGGGGGAAAAGGUGGGCCUUUGCUGUCCAGGACUUUGCUCAAAGUAGAAGCGGACUCUAUAAGCUAUAAAAGAAGUAAAGGCGAGGACCUCAUCAUCAGAUAUCCUUCGACCAAAUCCUCUUGGACUGUAACUGUGACUAAACCCGGGGGAAGACACAGAAUACUUCAUUUUGAUCGAAGCAGGCGAUCUGCUCACUGACAAUAGUAAUUCUGGAAUACCGGGAAUAUGGCGGGAGGGUUCAGAUUUUGCAUGACGGCAUAGAAAUCGGGUCUUUGCGAAUCAUGGACUCUGGCGUUCUUGGGUUCAGAGACGAGGAAAACUACUUGGCCCUGACCGUUCAUGUGAAUGUGCAUUUGUUAUUGUUUCCGUUAUUGCGGAAUCGUCUUUGUGGGGAUCCUCUGCUUCUGCUGCAUGAGAAAACGAUGUUGUAAAAAGAGCGCUCCCAAAAGGGACGAGGCUGCAGCGGCACCUCCAGUGUAUUACCAUGGUAAGACCCAUCUUUCAAGCCCGAGUUACCGUGCUGCACCUGCGCCAAAACCCUCUUAGGAGCCAAUGAACCCCAGUGAGCCAGCAGCUUCAUCAUCUGGGACACCGGCUGCGCCUCUGCGAGAUCAAGGGGAUGCUCCAGCUCCUACUGUCGGCUCUGAUUGUCUCUCCUCUGACCGUGAGCUGAGGCGUGAGCUGAAAGGACUGACCGGGGGCGGCUGUGGCUCAGUCGGUAGAGUCGUCGCCUCUCAACCGGAAGGUCAAGGGUUCGAUCCCCAGCUGAGCAACAUGUGUCCUUGGGCCAAGACACUUAACCCUGAAUUGCUCCCGCUGCUUCAGUGGCGGUGUAUGAAUGGGAUUAGUUACUUCUGAUGAUACUACAUAGCGAUCAUCACUACCAUCAGUGUGUGAAUGGGUGGGUGUGACAUGCAGUGUAAAAGCGCUUUGAGUAGUCGGAAGACUCGAAAAAGCGCUAUAUAUCAAGUCCGUUUCAACUUUCACUGAUGUUUAUACCUCAGACAAACUCAACUUUUAGUAAGAAACGUCAUUCACAUUGGACAGAUGAGGUGUUGUUUAUUGUGACCAGCCUUAGCUGCCUUUUGGUUGGACAGUGACAUAUACACACGUUAGAAAAUAAGUUGCAUUCGGGGCGCUGGUGGCGCAGUGGUUUGUGCAUGUAUGGAAGCUGUAGUCUUCCAAGCGGGCGGCCCAGGUUCAAAUCCGACCUGUGGCUCCUUUCCUGCAUGUCGUUCCCCACUCUCUCUCUCCCCAAUUUCUGACUGCCCAAUAAAGGCCCAAAAAGCCCCAAAAUAAACCUUUAAAAAAAACCAAAAUAAGUUGCAUUAAGAGGUGGACAAAGUCAAGUACCAGUGGUUCCUAACCUUUUUUCCUUGUAGCCCCCCUACUUGUAUGGUAGAAAUGCUGAAACAGCAGUCCCAUAUCCUUUUGCGUUCUCACAUCAGCUCACUCGGACUUUCAGCAGAAUAAAUACGAAGGGGCUGGCAGGAAAAACUUCAGAUAAAGUCAGUUUUUUCAGGAGUUUGAAAGCACUAAUCGUCUUCCGCUGUGGGGGGCGUUAACAAGCAUCUAAGCAUGACUUUGAUUGGCAGUCUGCAUGAAAUGUUCGAGAAGUUUUCUGGAAAGCGUUUGUGAAAACAGCUUACAGUUAUUUUAUAAAUGCAAAAUGAAACACAAUACCAUUAAUGCUAGCUUGACUCAUUUCAGUGCGUAUUUCGGCCUAUGUUUGUGUAGCAUGUUAACUAGACAGAGUGUAAAAACGAAUUUCCCCUCGCUGGGAUCAAUAAAGUAUAAAUUAUUAUUAUUAUUAUUGACUCAUUUCCACAUUUGUCACAAGUUAAAGGUUGGGACUUUCUUCAGUAUGAAUACAGUUGUACUCACACAAAUGCAGGGUGCUCAGUUUGAUGCUAAUAUAGUAUUAUUUUUGUAGUAACUCUUGAUGACUGGAUCUGUUUUAAAGUAAUAGUAUAGCAAACAGUGGAGGGUGAGAGGAGGAUAUAAAUCAAGUUAACCAUAUUAACACACAUUUAAAAGCUUUUAGGACAAUUGAUGUAUUCACUCAAUUUUCUCAGGAACUAAAAAACAAAUAAAGCUCUCUCGGUUUCUGUACUGUAGUUUUAAACUGCAGAUGUUCGAAGUGCUUAUCGAUAUAAUACACCAAAUGAAAUGAAUUUGCCAUAUAUUAAGAAUGUAUAAUGUUCACAUCUUAAUGUCUGCUGUGCCUGGUGCUGCCAAGGAGGAGAGAUAAUGUUUCAAAAUGAGUUUGUUUAGCAGAUAGAACAGAUCAUGUGACUCAACCUGGAGUCAGCAUUCUUGGAAACAAAAAAAACUACUCUCAGUUUUUUUUCACACACUUUUUGACGUGAUUAUUUCUAACCUUAUCCUGUGCCUAGAUGUAUGUAUCAACAUGUCCGAGUGGCUUUCAUCAUUGCAUUGAAUGCAUGCAUAUGAGAAAUUAUAUUUAUUAUACUUGUUUUGAUAUCUACACUUUGUAUCUUUGUGUUUAUAUAUUUAAGGUCUUUUGAAAGCUAGGUUUGUAAACUCAUCUUUUGAGCCACCCAGAUAUAAAAAAUAUCGAUCUGCAUUAAAAGUAAUGAUGGUUGA